UUCAAUGUGUAAAAAAUGCAAUAUCUGCAAAGCUCAAUAAAGUGAAGUGCAAUAAAACGAGGUCUGCCUGUACAUCCUUGUUUGUGCCAGACACAGCCCAGAAACGUGUUGUGAGGACAGAGAAGUCACCAUCUAUGAGCCAGGAAGACAGUCUUCACCAGGAACCGAAUCUGCUGGCACCUUGAUCUUGGACUUCCUGCCUCCAGAAGCAGAAGGGUGUGGAUCUUCACCCUAUUCUGAGCCACAUCUGGGCCGACCGCGAGCAGGGGAGUUUAGCAUACGUCAUCCCCACGGGCAGAUUCUUAACCACUGUGCCACCAGGGAAGUCCUACCCAUCUACUUCUCAUUUAACUUGCUGGCUGCAGGGAAAAGACAGAUAAAGUUUCAAAUGCUGGGUGGUUCGAGGUGUAAACAAUGGCUAUCUCCUGCCUCCCUGUUAAU